UUCUGCAUCUACCGAGAUGGUUGGCCCUAGAUUUUGCUGUUUAGUUUCAUAAUCUAUAUAUAGAGUUCAAUCAAGACUGGUUACAUAUGUAUAUAUAACAGCAUAUACGACUAUAUGUACAUCAAUCUACGUUAAACCCUUUUUAGCAUGUAUCAAGUUGGUUUUAUUGACUGACCAUGAUCAUUUUGUCAAUUAUGCAAUCAAUAUACGUAUAUAAUAAGAUACACAAAUACUAAACAGACUAACCUUGUGCACUAGCUGAUCCAAUUAGUACUGUGAAGCAAAGAAUCAAACACUUGACAGGUCUCAGAAUCAAAGAAACCAAUCCCCCCCUCAUCAUUUCAUUUUAAAUGGAAGCCGCCCCAUCGGAGAAAACCAUGCAGAUUCUCAGACCAAAACCAGUUUAUUUUAACUCACAAUAAUUCCUCUUGUAAUGACUCCCGUCUUCCCUAUCAACCCACAGUUGCCAAUCAACCAGCGCGUAAACUCAAACUCUCCACCAUUUUUAAGCUCCAAAACAGGGUUCUUCAAUGAAUUUUUGCACUGAUAAUUAAAAGAGUAGCAGGCUUGGAGACGGAGUAGUAGUUGGUGGGAUGGGUUUGACUUUCAGAUUUUGGAAACGGCAGGGAGAGGAAGAUGAGAAAGAGGAGGAUGAUUGAAUAAUUAGCGACAAACCAAGAGUUUGAUUAAUCAUUUUAUGUUUUAAAAAUCUGGUAUUAAACUAAAUUGAAUUAAUUAGAAUAAUUUAGUUUUUUGAUUUGGUGGUGGGAGGGUCUUAAAUUUGUAAUUUUAAAUUUUGAUUUUGUAAUAUAAUAGUUGGAGCAAAACAGCCCAUCAUCUUCG
rnacentral:lncRNA from 1 species